AGAGAUUCAUUCAAACAAAUUAACCACUGCCAUACAAGUUGAAGUGAUCAACUAUUUUUAUCUACUGACCUAAUGCUGCUGCAAUUAGAAACCUCCUUUUGGUUUGGAAAGUAGACAAAGAUUCUGCCUUCUGCUCUAAAAUAAGAUUUCUAUUCUAAACCAUUCCCUGCUUUAUAAUUCAGCCUUCAUAGAAAUGAGUGGUGCUUAGCAUAUAACUAGUGGCACAGUGUUUAAAUGCAUUAAAGUUAUAAUUUUUAAUUACAUUCAGAUAAGAACAGGUAUUAGUGAUAAUUUACCCUAUCAAAUCAGUAACUGUUGAAAAAUAUUCCCCCCUAACCAAUAUUAUUUCAGUUUUUAAUAUUUAGGCAUAAUGAUAGUACAAAUUUAAUUAGUGCAAAUUAAGACAUAACUAGAACUGUUUUAUAGUUACCAAAAGGAAUCAAUGUUAUACCAAUAAUACAUGUAUAAUCAAAUUAAUGUUAUAAACAUUGUGUAAACAUAAUUCAUUUAUUUUGAUUGAGUUAUCCGUUCAUUUUUUAAACUGUAUAUUAUUAACUUUUUUAGGUAAUGAAAGCAUGACUCUUCCAGAUCUUGAAUAAGUAUAGCCAUCACACGAUUCAUGAGUUUCCUAAUCACAUUUCGUUGGCAUUGAUCCUGUUUCCAUGCUUCUAAUGAAAUUCAGAUUUGACCUUGAAAUUUUUCUUUAAAAAAAAACUUACGAAAAUAAAAAAGAGAAAAACGACACACCCUUUGCCACUCUGCAAAGCUUUCAGCUGUCACUCACGAUUCGGCAGGCAUUUCUACGCAAAUCUGGCAUGCAUAACCGUCCAAUCACAAUGUGAGGAAUAAUAAUGAAUCGCCCAAUUUCACUCGCCAUAUUGAAGCAAGUAUUGUAACCAAUUGAAACAAAGAAAGUUUAUCACAUUUUUUUUUCGAGAGUUGUUGAGAAUUUGAACUCAAGCUGUGUGAAUGCCCAAAUUAAUUUAACCAAGAAAGUUCAUUUGCUUAUUUGAAAAUUAUUGAUACAUGGAGUUAGUGUUUAAAAAUGUGAUGUUGUAUGAUUGAAAAAAGGUUUUAUAUAGUGUGAAUUUGCCUAAACAUUGAGUGAAUAAUUCACAGAGCGAUGGUUUUUGGUUGGCUGUUUUUUCAAGAGUAUUUUGAGUGCAUGAUGUUUUUUGUGGUCUUAUUUGGCUGUGCUGCCAAUUCAUCAUAUUGAAACUCAAAUUUACAUUUGUUUCAGGAUAAAAGGAAUUUAUAGUUAUGCUGUAGCGAUUUAGAUUACAUUGUAAAACUUCCAUGCAAAUUUCACUGCAGAUAUUCAUUUUAAGUAUGGCUGAAAAAUUUCUUCAUCCAUAUCUUGAUGAAACUUAAUUGUUCAGUAUGUAUGUAUGUACAUGUAUAUGUAUAUCAUUUCUCAUUGCAGUUUGUGGCACUCUGUUUUUUAAUUCUCAGAAUUUCUAUGCUAUGAAUGAUGGGGUUUUUUUUGCAUGUAUUUGCAAACUUCUUGUGAAUGUAUUUUAUUUAAGUGUCAAGUUGUCUAUAUAUACCAAGUUUCAUGUAUUUACCGCCAUAUAUUGUUGCUACAAUUACCUUUCUACCGUUCAGAAAUGAGACUUUACAUCUUAUGACCAGAUAUCAGUCAAAUCUGAACCAGGACUGGUUGUGAGGAAAUCUUUACAUAUUUAAGAGGAUUGUUGUGUAUGUGGCCUGCCAUAUUUCUUAUUGAUCCUGAUGCUUUAAUUAUUCCAAGAACUUGAUAUGUAUUGAAUGAAUGUCUUAAAGUUUGUCAUAUUUAGAAGAAAAUAUUAAAAUGUACAGGAAUACUU
rnacentral:sRNA from 1 species